AGCUCCCUUCCCGGCGGCCUUUGCGGGAACAAGAUGGCAGCCCUCAUACCUCAAGGGUUCUCUUGUUUAUCGAGGGUUUUGGGCUGGUGGUCUCGGCAGCCAGUUCUGGUGACUCAGUCCGCAGCUAUAGUUCCAGUAAGAACUAAAAAACGUUUCACAUCUCCUAUUUAUCAACCUAAAUUUAAAACAGAAAAGGAGUUUAUGCAACAUGCCCGGAAAGCAGGAUUGGUUAUUCCUCCAGAAAAAUCGGACCGUUCCAUACAUCUGGCCUGUACAGCUGGUAUAUUUGAUGCCUAUGUUCCUCCUGAGGGUGAUGCACGCAUAUCAUCUCUUUCAAAGGAGAGAUGAUAGAGAGAACUGAUAGAGAGAACUGAACGAAUGAAGAAGACUAUGGCAUCACAAGUGUCGUAGGUGUCUGAGACAAUUGGGUAUUGGUAUUAGAAUAACAAUUUUUUGUUGCUACUUUAUCCCAAAGAGACCUUUUUGGGUUAAUUGGGUUGGGUGUCAUUCUCUUAAUAACAUGAUGGUAUUUUCUCCUUUGUACUAGAGUCUGUAUUUAAUGCAGAAUAAUGUGGGCUUCCU
ensembl:lncRNA novel transcript